AACGGGUGAGUAACACGUGAGCAACCUGCCCCUGACUUCGGGAUAACCUCGGGAAAUCGUGGCUAAUACCGGAUAUGACGCCCUGCCGCAUGGUGGGGUGUGGAAAGACUGUGUCGGUUGGGGAUGGGCUCGCGGCCUAUCAGCUUGUUGGUGGGGUGAUGGCCUACCAAGGCGACGACGGGUAGCCGGCCUGAGAGGGUGACCGGCCACACUGGGACUGAGACACGGCCCAGACUCCUACGGGAGGCAGCAGUGGGGAAUAUUGCACAAUGGGCGCAAGCCUGAUGCAGCGACGCCGCGUGAGGGAUGACGGCCUUCGGGUUGUAAACCUCUUUCAGCAGGGGAGAAGGCCUUCGGGUUGACGGUACCUGCAGAAGAAGCGCCGGCUAACUACGUGCCAGCAGCCGCGGUAAUACGUAGGGCGCAAGCGUUGUCCGGAAUUAUUGGG
rnacentral:rRNA from 1 species